rnacentral:lncRNA from 1 species
AAAACUUGGCAAAAGUUUUGCAAAAUCAUCAUCGAUCAUGCAAAUCAGACGAUGCUUUUGUCCCAAUGGCGAAAAAAAUCAUUACAAUUUUGUUCCACGACUAGAAGAUGUAUCUUUGGCUUAGCAUAGGUAAUCCUACGUGCUUUAUUUUUGUAUUGAUGUAUUGAAAUUUGUUUAUUUUCUCCUGAUCAUUUCGCUAUUAAAUACGUCUUUUAUAUAAUAUAGGUAUCUGAAUGGUGGUGUGAAAGGGCAUAUCAAUUGUUUUGUGACAUGUCUGGUGAAUUUCGUCGUUCUUGUAAUUUUAAAGUAUUAACGAAACCUCUUGGGAAUUUCUUUGUAUUUUUGCUCUUUCAUCAUGGCUGCGAAUUCCAGUCGCUACCACAUGGCUACCUUAAAAAUAGUUCUUGUUGGCUCAGAAGCAGUUGGCAAAACGAGCCUAUUAAUUCGUUUUCAUCAGAAUACUUUUCCUAGCUUAUACGUUCCCACCGUAUUUGAUUCGUAUUGGAAAGAGGUCUCGGUCGACGGCAAUGAAUAUGGCCUGCUUUUGUGGGAUAAUUCUGGCAACGACGACUACAUUCGCUUGCGUCCACUCUCAUAUCCACAAACUGACGUAUUUCUAGUGUGUUUUGACAUCAAUAACAGGGAAUCGUUUGUCCAGCUGCAAAAUACCUGGCUUCCUGAGGUGAAACGAUAUCAACAUGGAACCC